rnacentral:lncRNA from 1 species
CGCGCGGCGAGCGCGGCCGGGAGAGCGCGGCAGCCCGGGCGCCGGCGCGGAGCGGCUCCGGAUGCGCCUGGGGUUCGGGGCGGGGACCCGCAAGGCAGGUGACCAUGGACUCGCGCUCUGGAUUCCUGCUCGAGCUGCUCCUGGUUUUGUCCACUCCGAGCUGGAGCCGCGCGGGAGCGGGAAGCGCCUCUGAACCAACCUCCACAGUCCUCCACACUUUCCCAAGAGCAGCAAAAAACGAGCA